AUCGCUUCUCGGCCUUUUGGCUAAGAUCAAGUGUAGUAUCUGUUCUUAUCAGUUUAAUAUCUGAUAUGUUCCCUAUCCGGGAACCAUAUGUUAAAUUGAUUUUUGGAACAGGGAGAUGGAACAGGGGCUUGCUUCGUCCACUCCACGCAUCGACCUGGUAUUGCAGUAUUUCCAGGAAUGGUGUACCUCCA
rnacentral:snRNA from 1 species